rnacentral:tRNA from 1 species
UUCAGUGGUAGAACAUCACCUUGCCAAGGUGGGGGUCGCGGGUUCGAAUCCCGUCG